AACGAACGCUGGCGGCAGGCCUAAUACAUGCAAGUCGAACGGAUGUAGCAAUACAUUAGUGGCGCACGGGUGCCUAACGCGUGGGAACAUACCCUUGAGUAAGGAAUAAUGUCUGGAAACGGACACUAAUACCUUAUAAUGACUUCGGUCCAAAGAUUUAUCGCUCAAGGAUUGGCCCGCGUCUGAUUAGCUAGUUGGUGAGGUAACGGCUCACCAAGGCGACGAUCAGUAGCUGGUCUGAGAGGAUGAUCAGCCACACUGGGACUGAGACACGGCCCAGACUCCUACGGGAGGCAGCAGUAAGGAAUAUUGGACAAUGGAGGAAACUCUGAUCCAGCCAUGCCGCGUGAGUGUAGAAGGCCUUAGGGUUGUAAAGCUCUUUCAAUGGUGAAGAUAAUGACGGUAGCCAUAGAAGAAGCCCCGGCUAAAUUCGUGCCAGCAGCCGCCGUAA
rnacentral:rRNA from 1 species